rnacentral:sRNA from 1 species
GGCCUGUGCCAAAACCCUCUCUGCCUGGGGACUGGGCGGUGAUUCCGCUUCUGCCUGGGCUCCUGCCAUGGCCCCCGAGAGGGGCUGACACUUUAGCUCCCGGUGCAGGUGCGAACCCGCCCGGAGGAAGAAGGAAGGCGCGGGCCGGGGAUUAGGAGACGGAGGCGGACUCGGAGCCAGGGAACCAGGGGUCCGGGCUAGAGCCGGAGUCGUGAGCGCGCGCCUGCCCCGCACUGGGAGGACCGCGAGGUAAGGCGCGGUGGGGGACAGGGGUCCUGGGUCCCGGUCG